AUGCCUAGUGCAAUCUUAAUCAUGUGGUUACCAUUGUUGAUUGUUUGUAGGAAGCUCAAAGGAAGCAAUACUGCAACAAAAAUCUCUGAAUGCAUUCCAAGCUUCUGUACGGCAUAUGCCGUUUCAAAGGGCAAACUGUCAUUUGUGCACUCGGCUACAUCUGAUGCCUGCGGAAUACCCAAGACCAUAUCUUCUUCAACCAUUUCUUCUCCUAGCUCCAGAAGCCUUUCCAAUGCGCCCUCAGCAGAGUGGGCUCAUAGAAAUGGAACAACGACUGUACUAUUGUGCCAGUCAUCUCUGUCAUCGCAGCCUGAUCACGCACUCGCAAAUAUAAACAGGUCGGCCAACAGGGGAGCUAGCCCUUCAGUAGCGCAGCUCAGCAGCAGCAACAGUGGGGAUUCAAUUUACAAGAGCUUCCGAGAUAUCUCUAAUCUGCAGGCAGCAGUUUCAGAAACUGCAAUAGACCUGAGGCAUUCUCAUGACCAGGAUGAUCUGAAGCUUCAAAUUGAGUGA
rnacentral:rRNA from 1 species